GGUCCCGCAGCUCAGUUGGCUAGAGCACGGGUCUUGUGACCUGAAGGCCGCAGGUUUUAGCCUCGCCGGGACCA
rfam:Jatropha curcas cultivar GZQX0401 scaffold42_53, whole genome shotgun sequence.